GCACUGCUGAGGAGUCCCAUAAUAGGACGACAUGGCCGUCCAGUAC
rnacentral:hammerhead_ribozyme from 1 species